AGGGACUGGGACCUCUCCAGCCAUUUGUUCCUGCUGUGAUGCUCUCACUCCUCUGUCCCCACCAGGAUCCUGGGAUUGCUGAGCCUUGUUUUGUCCCAGGGAUACAGCCUCAUGUGAUGCUGAAGGAGCCGGAGCAUUCUGCAUGGUGCAGCCCCUUGCCCACCCUGCCCCUGGUGAUGCUCUGCGGGAUGCAGCCCAUCCUCACCUUGCACUCAGCUGCCCUUCAAAUUGCUGCACACAGCAAUCCCCUUCUGCUUGAGCGUCCGCCAGGUCCCCAAGAGGUGAUGAUUCGGAGACAGCUCCUCGAUCAUGAACCCAUGAUGGUCAACAGCUUUCUGAUGGUGUUGGAGGUUCAGGGAAGCAAUUCAUUCUUCUCGCCCCGAUGAUCAACACAUGCUGUCAUUAAGCUCCUUUUUAUCCCCCCAUCCUCUGCUUCCCUCUUAGCUUGCUAAACAGAUUGGAGCCCACUGGUCCUCGUGGGCUCCCAGGGAAGAUUUCCAUGAGCUGAUGGAAGUAAAUAAUUCAUUCGACUUUAUCUUCUAUUUCGGACAUUUCCUCCCUGGAAAAGGGAUGGAUUCUCCUUCCAAUCGUUUCCAGUCUCCACCAUGUGAAGAGCUCCUGUCAGAAGCCUCCAAGGAGAGCAGCAGCAUCCAAAAUGCCACGUCAAAGCUGGAGGAGAUCAUCUGGUGGAUGCUGAGGUGUUAAUGGCAGCCACAACAUCAUGCUCCCAUCCAGAGAGGGAUAAACGGCAACACCAGCUCCAUGGGAUGUGGUGGGAUAUCUGAAACAAGACUCAUGUGUAUUUACUUAGAAUUGGAUGUCCCUGAAAGGAAACCCUCCAUCUGAAAACCCACAAGGCCAAGCCCACCCCAUGACAGCUUUUGGCACCUGGUUUUCAUCUAUGUAAUGACUCUGCCCAACCCUCGGGGCAGGGAUACCACAAAACCCUGGGAAUGCUUGAAAUUGAGAUCCUUUUCCUUGUGGUUUGGAUCCCUUUGAGAUGAAUUGAGCUUCCCAUCAGUCUGGAUUAGCUUCCUUCUGCUGCGAGGUGAAGCCCCUGUGCUGAUCCCUUCAGGCUCACUGCGGAGCUGAACCCUCAUUUCAAACACUCACCAGGUUUUGCCCCCAACGCAUCCACAUGAGGCUUCAAUGCCAGGAGAAGCUCUUGGUCUUUGCCCAUUGGAGCACCAGGGAUGAGCACAGCGCUGGAGGUUUCCCUUUCAUCCCAGCCUUGUCAGAGGCAUGGAAGAUGCAGGCUCUGCUGUUGGAGACACCGGCAAAACUCCGUUCAGCUUCCCCAUCACCCCCCUUCUGCUGCCUUUUGCAGAGCUUUAGCAUUUCUCUUUUAUCUCACCCUUGCGAGCUUCAAAGGCGCCGUGAAGCCAA
rnacentral:lncRNA from 14 species